rnacentral:rRNA from 1 species
UACGUAGGGUGCGAGCGUUAAUCGGAAUUACUGGGCGUAAGCGUGCGCAGGCGGUUUGUAAGCCAGAUGUGAAAUCCCCGGGCUUAACCUGGGAAUGGCAUUGGGACUGCAAGGCUGGAGUUUGGCAGAGGAGACUGGAAUUCCUGGUGUAGCAGUGAAAUGCGUAGAUAUCAGGAGGAAUACCGAUGGCGAAGGCAGGUCUCUGGGCUAUAACUGACGCUCAUGCACGAA